ensembl:lncRNA
GUGAAUUUUAUUAUGCUAGUGGACGACGUGUGCACAUUUCUCACCACGAUUCCUCUGCUCACCAGGUCCCGGCACCGCCGCGCUGGGGUCGGCACAGCUGAAUUGUGCGGGCAGCGAAGGGGCCUCAGGGGGACCGCUCAGCUCCCUGAGGGCGCAGCCCUCCUGGUCCGGGGGCGAAGAAUGAACUUCCGCGGUUUUCAGUGACCCAGUUUGUGGCCCGGCACAUGCUGAAAAGGUAAAUGUGACCGCGUUACCUCAGAGAUGCGCUGUGAGCGGCUUUGUGCCGCCAAAUGACCUGUUUACCCAACAGCGCCCCCUGUAGCCCGGUGCUCAGAACGGGCUUUUCCAUGACGUUCCUACAUUGUGUUUACAGCGCUCUGUGAGGGGUUUGCACGCACAGGCCGACCUCGUUUUAUUGCGCCUUGCUCUAUUGUGCCUCGCAGAUACUGCACUGGUGAAACCCCGUCUCUACUAAAAAAUACAAAAAAAAAAGUCUGUGGCAGCACCGUUGGGGCACAUCAAUGGGUCCCAUUUUCAAACAGCUUGUGCUCACUUCAUCUCUCUAUGUCACAUUUUGGUAAUUCUUGUAAUAGUUCGAUUUUUUUCAUUAUAAUUGUGUCUGUCAUGGUGAUCUGCACCUAGUGAUCUUCGAUUUUACUUUGUAAUUGUUUUGUAACCAACAACCACACGCAGGUAAGACGGAAAACAUAAUCAAUGUCACCUGUGUUCCACGUGCUCCACUGACCAGCUGCCUCCAUCUCUCUCCCUCCCCUCAGGCCUCCCUAGUCCCUGAGACACAAUUGUGGAAUUACACCAUUAAUAACCUACAACGGCCUCUAAGUGUUCAAGUAAAAGGAAGAGACACACAUCCCUCAUUUUAAGUCGAAAGCUAGAGAUGAUUAAGCUUAGUGCGGAAGGCCUGUUCAAAGUUGAGAUAGGCUGAAAGCAAGGCCUUUUGCACCCAGGAGUUAGCCCAGUUGUGAAUGCAAAGAAAAACAAAGGAAAUUAAAAGUGCUGCUUUAGUGAACACAUGAAUGACAAGAAAGUGAAACAGCUUUAUUGCUGAUUCAAAAAAGGCUGAGAGGAGUGAGAAAACUAUGGAAGAAAAGUUUGAAAGUGGCAGAGGUUGGUUCAUGAGUUUUAAGGAAAUAAACAUGUCCAUAACUUAAAAGUGCAAGAUGAAGUAACAAGUGCUGAUGGAGAAGCUGCAGCAAGUUAUCCAGAGACCUAGCUAAGGUAAGUGAUGGAGGUGGCUACACCAAACCACAGGUCGUCAGUGUAGAUGAAACAGCCUUUUGUUGGAAGAAGAUGCCAUCUAGGACUUUCAUAGCUAGAGAGGAAAAGUCAAUGCCUGUCUUCAAAGCUUCAAAGGACAGGAUGUCUGUUGUUAAUAGCUAAUGCAUCUGGUGACUUAAAAUUGCAGCCAAUCUCACUUACCAUUCCAAAAAUCCUAGGGCCCUUAAGAAUUAUGCUUAAUAGGGAGGCUGAGGUGGGUGGAUCUCCAGAAGUCAGGAGUUUGAGACCAGCCUGACCAAUAUGGAGAAACCCUGUCUCUACUAAAGAAAAAAUACAAAAAAAUUAGCCAGGCAUGGUGGUGGGUGCCUGUAAUCUCAGCUACUUGGGAGGCUGAGGCAGGAAAAUCACUUGAACCCAGGAGGUGGA